rnacentral:snRNA from 1 species
AGCUUUGUGCAGUGGCAGUCUUGUAGCCAAUAAGGUUUAUCUGAGGUGCGAUUACUGCUAACUGAAAACAGAAGAAUGAAAGAAUAUUCAAAACAGAAACACCAAAUCACUUAUUAUUCUGAUGGCACACCCAUCAGAACAAUGUAAGAUUUCUCAACAGAA